rnacentral:rRNA from 1 species
UAGCGACAGGCUUAACACAUGCAAGUCGAGGGCGAGCAUAAAAGUAAGCAAUACUUGGUGGCGACCGGCGCACGGGUGAGUAACGCGUAUGCAACCUACCUAUCAGAGGGGAAUAACCCGGCGAAAGUCGGACUAAUACCGCAUAAAACAGGGGCACCGCAUGGUGAUAUUUGUUAAGGAAAUUCGCUGAUAGAUGGGCAUGCGUUCCAUUAGGUAGUUGGUGAGGUAACGGCUCACCAAGCCGACGAUGGAUAGGGGAACUGAGAGGUUGGUCCCCCACACUGGUACUGAGACACGGACCAGACUCCUACGGGAGGCAGCAGUGAGGAAUAUUGGUCAAUGGGCGGGAGCCUGAACCAGCCAAGUCGCGUGAAGGAAAGAAGGAUCUAUGGUUCGUAAACUUCUUUUGCAGGGGAAUAAAGUGCAGGACGUGUCCUGUUUUGUAUGUACCCUGAGAAUAAGGAUCGGCUAACUCCGUGCCAGCAGCAGC